ensembl:lncRNA
CAAUCAUUAGGCAUAGGAGAAUGAGUUUCUUUUCUCACUCAACAUUUUACAGCGAUGUUCAAUGUCAUAUUAAUGGGAAAUCCAACAUAGUAUUGGAGUAGUGGACCAAACUCUGGGGACGCAAGUUCCAGAAUGCAAAGCAGUUAUAUGACGCAGUCGUACUGAAUUACGCCGCAGAUACGGAUCGGCUAGUGAGCAAAUGUAUGAGAUGAUAAGCAUGAUGAAGUUUACGAUGGUAUUAGCAUGAAAGUUGAAGCUAUUGAACUGUAUCUGUUUGAACAGGGUGUAUAAAUAAGGAGGUAAGAGAGCUGGACAGAGCAACGGCUAAACUGCACUGGCGCCACUAUCAACGGGUAGUUGUGGGUUAUUUAGGAACCUGUUAACUAAACAGUGAGAAAAAGCAAAUGUGUCAAUAAAAUAAGUAAACUAAACUACUAAAGAGAUAAACAGUUAAUGUUGGAUGCCACUGAAGAUCAAAUGUCAAGUUCACAUGACUGGCUGUUAAACCGCCCCUAAAUGUACUUGACUGCGUGUGCAUCAUGCCCUGAAAUGGACUGGUACUUGUAGUGAAUGAAUAUGCAUGUCAUUCAGGCUGGAUUUCUGCUUUAGUGUAGGUUUAGGACACUGGAGGACCAUACAGAAACAACAAGGACAAAACACAUUGUUGUGUUAACACUGUUGUGUCUCCUCCUUAGCCGUGAGUCAGAGACAUUCAUCAUGGCAUAAACAUGCCGAGAAUUUUGCCGGUUCCUGAUGAUGAAUCCAAACAUGUCUGUCCUGAGAUUACAGCAGUUCCACUCUAGUUCAGCAAGUCACUGUGACCUCAGUCCAGCAUUUCAGUGGAUCAGAAGGUACAAAACCGGGAUAAACACUUCUGAAUCAAAUAACAAAAAGCAAUUGUCUAAGCUUUUGUAAUUUGUUCGUUCGGCUUUCAUAUUACACCACUAACAGUGUGUACUGUAGUUAAGAUCCUUCCUAAGCUGAGCUGCUGUUGUCUACUUAUGUUCUAUUACAACUAGAUUGCUUCAUUACAGUGGAUUAGCUUCAGGCUAUCAGGUAAACAACAAUAUGAGGCAUGUGUUUGUUUCUCUCUAAAUAUCAAGUCAUGCUAACGUUAGAGAACAAUCCCAUACAAAUGAGAAAGCCCUAGAGCUAAUGCAUAUUCACACAAAAAGAUAAGGCCCUAGGCGCAUAUCUUUUACAUCUUUUAGGUUUGCGAUAGGAGUGCUAUAUCUCUGAGAGAAAGGGACGGAAAACAGACAAACAGAGACUGGGACUGACAUAAAUGGAUGUAAACUGAAAGACAGAGAUAAAGAAAAGUCUCGUGUUUUAUGACCUUAAACUUUAGUAUUAUAAAUACACAACUUCAGUGUGCUAACUACGCAACCUCAUAGGCCUAUCAUCUACACAACUGUGUUGUGUUAUGUUUUUAGAAGUUAUUCCUCGUAGUAAAUCCCAACUCAAAAACAAAUAUUUUUUUAAGCAACACUAACUACUAACACAUUUUGAUUGUAAAACUUGCCCAGGUUAACAAUGGUGUGGAAGAUUGAGCAAGUGCCAGUAUCUAUCUUUAUCUGAGACAUUUUACACAUGAAAAUGAGUUAUUGCACAAGCCUUAGUCAAAGAUCAAAGCAAAAUUAUCUAGUUAAAUUACAACUAGAACAAUGGGAAAUGGCCAACCUUUCUUUCUAUGAGUCACCAAACACACUUCAAUAUGAGUCAAGGACAUCUACUAUGUAUUUUAGACCUGCCCAAUGUAGAUCAACUGUUUUCAGCUAAGCAUUGAAGAAGUUCUUCUGCUAGCACCAAUUACUAAUGACAUACAAUGAUCAGGCCUGGACUGUCAGACCCCCGAGGAGUUGGUGGAGGUGGGGAAUUCUACCCUCUUGAGCCCCAGAGGGUUGGGCAUGAGUCAAGGCUGACUCACUGGGAGAAAUCACGCCGCUGCGGGAGGUUAGAAGUGCCUCUCUCUCUCUCUUUUUUUUCUCCAUUCCUAGAGUCUUACACUCAUGCCCACCAUGGUACAUCACUCUUUAUUUAGAUGCUGAUUCAGGAUCAGCCUGGUGAGCCAAGUUCCAUCAGCUGAGGGGGAUUUUAACCAGUUAGGGUUGUGAGAGCCGUGCUAAACUCCUUCUUUAUCAUGACUUGACUUGCUGUUACUAAUGGAAAGAACAAAAAGACUCAGUCAUAAUUUUAAACCGGAAACUGUUUCCUUGGAUAUAGCUAAUUUUAGCACUCCACUGUGAAGAACAUCUUUAAACACUCUUAAAAUGUGGUCAACUUUGCUGCGAAAGUGCACGAGUAAAAAGCUUUCUGCCGAAUGAGAAAUAUCCAUAUGCCAUGCAGGGGGUCGGCCCAGGCACGUAGGGAGCAAAGUCCUCCUUCAAUGGAUCUAGGUCUGCUUUCCAAAUACCAAAGCCUUGUGUCAUUCCUGCCCUUACAAGCUGAGUGCGUGCCAGCACUUUCAAACAAUAGCAAGGAACGGACACUGCUUGCCAAGGCUCAGGCCUGGUCUGUGCAAUCCAUUUCUUGAUCUCUUUCUUUUUCUCCCUAUGCGCUUGACAUCCAUAAUACAACCUUAAUCUUUCAACUUUCUCCUGAGUCAGCAGUCUGAGAACACCAGUGGCAGUGCCGUGCCUCUGUUGCUCCAGUUCUUUCCUAUAUGUAGAGCACAUUCUGCUGAAAACGCGUUCUCGCAAGCACGUCAUCUUAUUCCUCCUGAAGAAAAGACUGCUACAAAAACAAUAACACACAGCUUUCUGGGCUGUAAAAGGACUGAACAGAGUGAAACUGUACUGCUCCUGCUGCUACCAUUGCAUGAGGCUCAGAAAGAACCACAAUCUCAUUUGAGGAAUCGAAAAGUCCAUCUUCCUGAAUCAAUUUUCUAUCAAAAAGAGCUGCUUUUGUUGGCCAUAAAUGACUUGCUGUUGCCACAGCAGUAGUGGUAAUAAGGUGCAGAAUCCUUCCAUUAUCCCGUGGCUUAAUCCUGCGGUCGGCUCUGGAAAGGCCACCAGGCAGAGAAAGGUCGACUCACAUGCAGGGAAGCGGGAAAGCCGACAUUUCUUAAAAACAUUGGGGUAACGUUAAUCCUUCAGCGCUGAUGAGAAGGACAACACCUCAGUGAAAGGUCACCCUGCAGCGGCUGUAUGAAAUGGAUUCCUGGUGCACUGCUUGCCCAAUUUGGUUGGUUUGUUCGAGCUCAUUCUCUCACUCAUUACCUUCUACCAUUUACAAUCAACACACACACACGCACACACAAACACACACCCUCGCCACUCUCUGCUUAUAAAUCCCUAAACACACCUCCAUCUAGCUCGCAUCACAGAAAAGGUCAACAAGCAAGAGAAAACAUUGACAAGCUUUGAAUGAGACAUUUCCAGCAGCAUAAUGCUGCGUUGUUUGCGUGUGGGUGUUCAGGUGGCGAUGGAGGUCAACGCUGUAUCAAAGAGGGCAUGGAAAACCCUGCUCAUCUAUUCCCAGGUUGGCUCAAAUAAAUUACAUUCAUUAUGCAUGGCUGCCGUAGUUUAUUGGAAACGAGUCGAUUGUGAUAAAGCUGCAACCAUACUAACCCAUCUCAGCUCACACCCUACGGCCUUCAGCAGAACCAUCAGCUUUACUACAACAGGUAUGAAAGAAAGCUUGGGAAUGUUCCUUUUAUCUGUAGUAAUCCAUCAAUUAUGAAAUUGAAUUGGCUGGUGCAUGCAUUAUGCAGAGUGUUGCUUUAAUUCAGCCUGUGUAAUUCAGGGAGGAGCGGUUAACCUUCACACGGAUUAGUAGGUCUCCAAACAGUAGCAAACACACAGUACAGCUGCGUCACGCUGCCACAGCAAAGAUUAUGCACACGCACACACACACAGACACACACACACAAACAUACACAACCAUUUACCAUUCACCUUUACCAUGUCUCAUGCACAUUCAUAUACAAAUAUACAAUACCUACUUCUAUAAACACAUCCUCAUGCUUUAUUUUGUCUACACACUCACACUCACACUCACAGACGCACACACUCACUCACAUACUCAUACACUCAUACACACGCUCAUAUACACUCAUACACAUACACAUACACAUUAGGGAUGUCACGAGAACCGAUAGUUCAUUACCAAGUCGGUACCAACAGUAUUAAAAUGUGACGGUACUUGCUUUUCUGCAGGAGCGUAGGUACCGAGGUUGCAAUUCUUCCGGAACUGAUGGGGCAGCAAAUACGCGUAAGUGUUUUAGUCGGUCGACAAGUGGUAAGGAAGAAGAAGAACACCUACAAGCACACGGGGAAAAAACUAGAGAAGACGGCGACAAUUUUAGCUCCGCCCCAACUCGUUGAGAGGAAGGGUGGUAGGAGUUAAAUAUGGAAAUAGUUCGCAUUCGAGGCGGAUGACAACAAACGUAUAAUUGAUUCUCUGAAGCCGGUGAGCAACCGAUGCUAUCGUUCAUUUCAAACAAAGCAAGGAAACACCUCGAAUUUGGCGAAGCACCUGAAAGACGGUCCUAUAUUACGUUUGUUUGAGGCAGCUGGCAUUGUGGCCGUGAAACCAGCUAACGUUAUGCUCCACGUAAUGUUUGCGAUAGCCAGUUAUUUGUUAACGACGCUAACACAUUGCAAUUUUAUAAACUACCUCCGAAUGGGCCACCACGCAUCGCCAUUCAGCCCGUGUCCUGUCAGCUAAAUGUAGCCUAAUGUCACUAAUAAUUAUUCACAUGUUCAUACUUUUAAUAGAUCUUUUUGGCCUUCAAACAUAUCAGUGAAUUUAAACUAAUGCUUGCUUUCAGAAUAUAAGGGGUGUGUGUGUGUGUGCAUGUGUCUGUGUGUGUUUGAUAACUAAAAUAUAUACCCCCCCCCGCUCUCUCUCUCUCUCUCUUUGCCAGUAUCAGCCAGAGGAGGAUGUCCUCCAAGAGAGAUUGUAAUGUUAUUUUUUUAUUUUAUUUUUAUAACACACCGUGGUAUCGACUUUGGUAUCGAGUAUCAUGUACUUUUGGUGGUAUCCGUACCGACUACUACAUUUUUGGUAUCGUGACAUCCCU